rnacentral:rRNA from 1 species
AACGAACGCUGGCGGCAGGCUUAACACAUGCAAGUCGAACGCCCCGCAAGGGGAGUGGCAGACGGGUGAGUAACGCGUGGGAAUCUACCCAGUUCUACGGAACAACUGAGGGAAACUUCAGCUAAUACCGUAUACGCCCUACGGGGGAAAGAUUUAUCGGCAAUUGGAUGAGCCCGCGUUGGAUUAGCUAGUUGGUGAGGUAACGGCUCACCAAGGCGACGAUCCAUAGCUGGUCUGAGAGGAUGAUCAGCCACACUGGGACUGAGACACGGCCCAGACUCCUACGGGAGGCAGCAGUGGGGAAUAUUGGACAAUGGGCGCAAGCCUGAUCCAGCCAUGCCGCGUGAGUGAUGAAGGCCUUAGGGUUGUAAAGCUCUUUCAGUGGGGACGAUAAUGACGGUACCCACAGAAGAAGCCCCGGCUAACUUCGUGCCAGCCGCCGCGGUAAAAC